GUUUAACAUAGGACAUUCUAUUCUGCGUUUUGUUAAACGAGAAAAAUAAUUCUGUUCAACUGAGAUAAACAUGAGCCCUUUUGUUUUCUUCGUCUGUGUCGGCCUUUUGUGCGCCGUGUCUACUGCCGUUAAUACGGACAAACAAGAUAAUGACUCCCCUCAUUAUGUUGAGAAACAUCCCCGAGACGCCCCUUCAGCAGAAACAACCAGCAAGGUUGAAAUAGACCCCUCAAAUGAGUUGUCGAAACGGACCCUGCCUCCAUGAUUGAAAUAGACUCACAAAUCAAAUAAAAACAAAGACCUGAAUAGCCAAUUUAACAGAGACAACUAGGAUUACAACAGUACGCUUCUUAUGUACAGUGUUUUUGUUAAAA